rnacentral:rRNA from 1 species
CAGUCGCCACGGGAAUACAGAGGGUGCGAGCGUUAAUCGGAUUUACUGGGCGUAAAGCGUGCGUAGGCGGCUAAUUGAGUCGGAUGUGAAAUCCCCGAGCUUAACUUGGGAAUUGCAUUCGAUACUGGUUAGCUAGAGUGUGGGAGAGGAUGGUAGAAUUCCAGGUGUAGCGGUGAAAUGCGUAGAGAUCUGGAGGAAUACCGAUGGCGAAGGCAGCCAUCUGGCCUAACACUGACGCUGAGGUACGAAAGCAUGGGGAGCAAACAGGAUUAGAUACCCGGGUAGUCCCUGUCUCUUAUAC